UACGAAGGGGGCUAGCGUUGCUCGGAAUCACUGGGUGUAAAGGGUGCGUAGGCGGGUCUUUAAGUCAGGGGUGAAAUCCUGGAGCUCAACUCCAGAACUGCCUUUGAUACUGAAGAUCUUGAGUUCGGGAGAGGUGAGUGGAACUGCGAGUGUAGAGGUGAAAUUCGUAGAUAUUGGGAAGAACACCAGUGGCGAAGGCGGCUCACUGGCCCGUAACUGACGCUGAGGUGCGAAAGCGUGGGGAGCAAACAGG
rnacentral:rRNA from 1 species